rnacentral:rRNA from 1 species
UACAGAGGGGGCAAGCGUUGUUCGGAAUUACUGGGCGUAAAGGGCGCGUAGGCGGCCUGUUAAGUCGAACGUGAAAUCCCCGGGCUCAACCCGGGAACUGCGUCCGAUACUGGCAGGCUUGAAUCCGGGAGAGGGAUGCGGAAUUCCAGGUGUGGCGGUGAAAUGCGUAGAUAUCUGGAGGAACACCGGUGGCGAAGGCGGCAUCCUGGACCGGCAUUGACGCUGAGGCGCGAAAGCCAGGGGAGCAAACAGG